AAUAACGUGAGGAGACCGAUAGAUUACAAGUAGUGUGAACGAAAGAUGAAAAGAACUCUAAACAGAGGGUGAAAAGUUCUGAACUUGCUUAGGGUUAAGGCUAUUUAUAGUACCCGUCUUGAAACACGGAUUAGGGAGUUUAUCUGUAGUGCGAGUCUUUGCACGUUAACUGUAAAGGCGUAGAGAAAGCAACUGGCGUUUGCAUGGCUACUGAGCAUUACUGAUAGGACCCGAAAGGUGGUGAACUUUGCCUGCACAGGUUGAAGUCAGGGGAAACUCUGAUGGAGGACCGUACGGGUUAUUGAUGUGCAAAUCAUUUUUCUGAUGUAGGUAAAGGUGCGAAAGACUCAUCGAACCACCUAAUAGCUGGUUUCCUCCGAAGUUUCCCUCAGGAUAGCUGUAAUGCAUUUAGUUAAGGGGAGUAGAGAUAUGGGUAGAGGUGCAGGGAGCCUUCGGGUUCUCAACUUAUUUCCAAACUUCGAACCUCCUUGUUAGGCAUUUACCUAACUGGAAAUGCUUAAAUGAAUUAGCGUUACAAGUGGGCUCUGACCGGUAAGCGGUCAUGGCGAAAUGGGAUGAACCAUACGUCUGAAUAAGGUGCCGAAAUGUACUAUCACUGAUACCAUAAAGGGAGUCCAUGUAUUUAGACAGCAGGUCGGUGCCCCUAAAAGCAGGUAUCCGCUAAAGAGUGUGUUAAAACUCACCUGCCGAAUACUAGGGCCCCGAAAAUGAAUGGCGCAUAUAGUACUACCGAUCUCAGACAUCAGUUCUAUUGAACUGAGAGUAGGGGGAUGUGGACAUUUUUGUGAAGGUGCAAUGUGAGUUGGACUGGAAGAAUGUCUAUUACAGAUCCUAAUUGAAGUAGCGAUUAUCCAGGCUUGUAUCCUGGGGGCUGAUGAGGAGUAGGGUUUCUGGACAACUUAAACAGAUCCAGAGUUAGUCGAUCCUAAUCUCAAUAAUGGGAGAAAGGGAGUACAGUUGAUAUUCUGUAACUGACAACAGUUCGCGGCAACGCAUAC
rnacentral:ncRNA from 2 species